GAUGAAGAACGCAGCGAAAUGCGAUACGUAAUGUGAAUUGCAAAUUCAGUGAAUCAUCGAGUCUUUGAACGCACAUUGCGCCCCCUGGUAUUCCGGGGGGCAUGCCUGUCCGAGCGUCAUUGCUGCCCUCAAGCGCGGCUUGUGUGUUGGGCCCCGUCCUCCGAUCCCGGGGGACGGGCCCGAAAGGCAGCGGCGGCACCGCGUCCGGUCCUCGAGCGUAUGGGGCUUUGUCACCCGCUCUGUAGGCCCGGCCGGCGCUUGCCGAUCAACCCAAAUUUUUAUCCAGGUUGACCUCGGAUCAGGUAGGGAUACCCGCUGAACUUAAGCAUAUCAAUAAGCGGAGGA
rnacentral:misc_RNA from 1 species